GACAACGAUAUGCUCGCUUCUAUUUUGAUAAUAAUAUGUGUCAGGAUCAUUUUGCAUGAAGGUUAGCAGAAUCAUCCAUCAUUUCAGCCGAACGGCGUAUUUUCUUGUUCAGCAUUGAUAGAUUUUUUUUUUAACCUUAGAAGUUCCUCUCGAGGGACUCUAUUAGGGAUGCUGUCAUUUUUUAUUCUGCUCUGUUACCUCUCCUUUGUAAACUUUGAUGUAUGCAGACAACACAUUUCCGGCUAGGGAAAUUUAAUUAGUUAUGGAGGCUGGGUGAGACCAGGAUGUCAGCACAGUCACGUGAGGGCCCUCUUUCAGGCUGCAGACUUCUGGUUGAAUCCUCACAUGGCAGAGAGAGCAGAAAAAUAGACUAUCGUAAUCAUGAGCAGCAAGAGAGAUCUAUCAUAAAGAGCAACCCAAGUCCUGCCAGCUUCCUGAGCAAGAAGAAAGGGCACCUCAAUCACUGGCCUUCCAAGACGACAAGGAGGAAAAGCACCUAUCGAACUUCUGAUGUUCCUCAUACAUAUAUAUGUUUUUUGGCUGAGGAAGAUUCACCCUGAGCUAACAUCUGUGCCUAUUCUCCUCUAUUUUGUAUGUGGGUCACUGCCACGGCAUGGCUGCUAAAGAGUGGUGUAGGUCCACAUGGGGGAACCGAACCUGAGCCACCCAAGCAGAGUGUGCCAAACUUAACAACUAGGCCAUGGGGCCGGCCCCUCAUAUUCGUUAUAUUUAACCACCCUUGACUGUUGACUUGAUAACAGAAGUUUUGUGCUGAAACCUUGGUCGACUAAAGGCAUCUGUCAGGACUAGGGAAAUACAGAGGGUGCUCCAGAUGAACGCUGCUCCGUCUCCUCACCCACUAGGCUCCAUCUUACUGCAACUCACUUCAUUAUCUGCUUGGGUGAUUUCUGGAACCAGAGAAAACAGGGCAAGAGUCCUGGGGGCAGACACAUAAUUUAUCAACAUAAAUUUUAGUCUCACCACUGAUCUUUCCUCCCCUUUUGGAAACUUCAGAGAGAGUUGAGCAGGCUAGUGAGAUUCCAGGCUGGAUGGUUGCCAUUUAUAAAUAGCAUUACAAGAACGCUACCCAGAGUUCUUUUGAUUUGCCAGCAUCUAUCAGUUGGAUACAAUGAUCAGACAGAUAAUGGAGUUGCUACUUGGAGAAUGUCCCUUUGUGUAGCAGAGAAGGCUGAGUUUGCCCAGGAUAUAUUUAUUGGCUGAGUGACAGCUCUGCAUGCCCUGAAUCAAGGUGUGGCACUGCCGGCGGAUGCUAUGGAGAACUCAGCUGGAACAAAGUGUCACAUCACAUGUUGCCACGGAAGCAGCGUCUUGACCGAGUGGUACCUGUAAAAGGGAAAUGUUUAACGAUGAAUAACUUUGUUUGAAGCUCUGCUCACUCCACAUUUCCAUGCAAAAUGAAACCACAGGAGGCAUGAAAAUCUCCAAAGGGCCUUUAUACAUAGAUUAAUGUGGUGCUCAGUUGUCCUUGUGGAACCACUGCCUUUGCUAAAAACUAAAUUAUUAUUAAUGUUUCUUUCUGAACAAAAUGUGAGGUGAAAUGCCGUGUCCUUGUGGUACCACAUGUAAACAGCUUCAGUUAUGUUUUACCUGGGAGUAAACCUCAGGAUAACUUUGAUCUUCUGGCUAGGAUGCUCAGAUACAGGAUGCUCAGAUGCCUGCUGGGAAUCAUGAAGUCUCUCCAAUCAUACUCAUCCUGAGAAGAGUCACACUCGUUAUAACAAUCUCAAGAUGAAGAAACAGGUUCAGAGAAGAUCACAUAGCUUUCGGGUAGCUAAGAAGUAGCUGUGACUGACCCAAAAGGCCAUUCUCAUUGUGUUUCCAUACUGCCUGCUCAAACUUGGUUGACUUAAAUUGACUGAUUUUAAAUUAAAAGUUUGAAUUCACCCAAGUAACCUUUAAUACUUACUUUUCCUCUCUCCACCUACAUGUUUUGAUUCUGUAUAAACAUCAAUCCUGUUCACCAGUUAAUUUCAAAGCCUUUUUAAAUGUCAGGAGUUGAGCUGAGAUUUCACGACUCUCCAGUCUCUGAACAGGUCGUUAGCCCAAAGCACAGUUUUAGGCCAACCCAUCGGCCCAAGGUGACUCCAGAUGCCAAUUAAACAGAUGCCCAC
rnacentral:lncRNA from 1 species